GAUGAACGCUGGCGGCGUGCCUAACACAUGCAAGUCGAACGGAGAUUACGGACGGAAGUUUUCGGAUGGAAGACUGUAAUUCUUAGUGGCGGACGGGUGAGUAACGCGUGGGCAACCUGCCCUAUACAGGGGGAUAGCAGCUGGAAACGGCUGGUAAGACCGCAUAAGUCGGCGGAACCGCAUGGUUUUGUCGGGAAAUGAGCAAUCAGGUAUAGGAUGGACCCGCGUCCGAUUAGCCAGUUGGCAGGGUAAAAGCCUACCAAAGCGACGAUCGGUAGCCGGACUGAGAGGUCGGGCGGCCACAUUGGGACUGAGACACGGCCCAAACUCCUACGGGAGGCAGCAGUGGGGGAUAUUGCACAAUGGAGGAAACUCUGAUGCAGCGACGCCGCGUGAGUGAAGAAGUAUGUCGGUAUGUGAAAGCUCUAUCAGCAGGGAAGAUGAUGACGGUACCUGACUAAGAAGCCCCGGCUAACUACGUGCCAGCAGCCGCGGUAAUACGUAGGGGGCAAGCGUUAUCCGGAUUUACUGGGUGUAAAGGGAGCGCAGGCGGUUUUGCAAGUUGAGAGUGGAAGCAGGGGGCUCAACCCCCUGACUGCUCCCAAAACUGUAAAACUUGAGUAUGGGAGAGGCAGGCGGAAUUCCUAGUGUAGCGGUGAAAUGCUUAGAUAUUAGGAAGAACACCGGUGGCGAAGGCGGCCUGCUGGACCAAAACUGACGCUGAGGCUCGAAAGCGUGGGUAGCAAACAGGAUUAGAUACCCUGGUAGUCCACGCUGUAAACGAUGAAUACUAGGUGCUGGGAGGCAUAAGCCUUUCGGUGCCGUCGCAAACGCAUUAAGUAUUCCACCUGGGGAGUACGUUCGCGAGAAUGAAGCUCAAGGGAAUUGACGGGGACCCGCACAAGCGGUGGAGCAUGUGGUAUAAUUCGACGCAACGCGAAAGAACCUUACCCGGGUCUUGAGAAUCCUCCUGAAAUACUGAGUUAAUGUCAGUAGUCCUUCGGGACAGGAGAGACAGGUGGUGCAUGGGUGUCGUCAGCUCGUGUCGUGAGAUGUUGGGGUUAAGUCCGCGACGAGCGCAGCCCCUAUUCUUAGUAGCCAGCGGGUAGGGCCGGGCACCCUAAAGAAACUGCCCGAGGAUUACUCGGGAGGGAAGGCGGCGGAUGACGUCGAAUCAUCAUGCCUCUUAUGACCGGGGCUGCCACGUCUCAGGUA
rnacentral:rRNA from 1 species